rnacentral:lncRNA from 1 species
CUCAAAAAUCCUUAUAUGGAAGCUCUUCUUGGGUCUAUUUUAGGGUAAGAGGCCUCUUAAUUCAGAUAUCUGGAAAAAUCAAUUCAGGGAAAGAACUAUAGCAGUACAAACAACACACCAUUUGUCUGUUCAUUCAAUCACUGGUCACUGAGUAACUUGUGUGUACCAGGCUUCUCAAGAAUGACAGCUAUAUGAAGAAAAAGCUACUGGCAUCUCUGAAAAGUAUAACAUACAAUAAUUAUGUAUUGUUAUUAUUAAUAUUGUUAUUAUUAUUUUUAAUAAUAGCAAUAUUAUUAAUAGUGUUAAGAUGAAAAUACUUUUAUAUUAAUCAGCAUUUCACGUUGUCAAUUUAAUAUAUUGUUAAAAUGAAUAUACUUUUAUAUUUAUUGUCAUUUCAUGUUGCCAAUUUAAUAUGCUCUGACUCACUACAAGGUCAUAGUUAUUAACACCUUAGGUCCUAAGGCUCAGGGUAAUGGAGGCAUUGUUAUGUCAAGUUUGUCUCCUGACGUGAUAGCAUCUGUGAAUGGCAGAGCAGAGACAACCUGGACAAGAGUUGAGCCAAGAAGCCUCCUCUUGGACAGUAACAUUGAGCCCAGGAGAAACUGACACUGGGCAGCAGCCACAGCCUCAUGCACAUCCAAAGACAGUCCACCCACAGGAAGCAAAGACACUGAACUCCAGAGAACUUACAGAACUUGUUCAAGGUGGCAAGAAAAAAUAAUCGGAAAAUUGGAUGAAGAUGAGUGCCUGCCUGUCUUUUCAGUAUCAUAGAAAACACUAACAGGCCCACUCAAAGGGGAUUUAAAAUUCUCCAGGGGAAGGUACUUUGAUUGACAGAUUAUUUCUUAGGAUUAGGGGGUCUAGACUUUGUGAAAUCACCCAAGUCCAACUUGUUAAUUUGUAAAUUGCUAAAUUACAACUUAUUUUUGUCCAGCAGAGAUGCAAAUG